AAAAGUCCAACUAAAACCAUAUAAAAAAAAUAUGAAGGCACAGACAGGAGCAAACCAGACUGAAAAAAGGAAAGACUGUAAAUACAUUUUGUAAUAAUUGGUCAAGAAGAAAGAACACAACGGGGGAGAAGAACACAGUGAAAACAAACAGGAGAUCAGGGGAAGACAGAGACAGACAGCAAAACUAAGACAGGAUAUGAAAGAAAACCAGCCUUCAAAGUAAAACAGGAAGCAAAAGACAAAUACUAAACAGAGACAAAAACACACUUCAGAUGACAAAGAAAAGAGAACAGAACAGGAAAUAACACCGAAACAAGAUAGAGGGGAAACAGCGAAGGUACUUGAAACACCCUGAUUUUAUUUGAAGCCACUGCAGUUCCUUGUAUUCGUUAUUUUCUGCAAACAAAUAGAUCUCUGCUCUUUCUCUACACCGCCAUACUCAGUGUGCACAUGAUGAGUGUUCAUCAUCCAAAGGACAGAAAAUAUUUCUUAAACCAUCCUAAAACGUACAUCUGGAGAGAUUUUUUUAAAUGCUGUUUUAAAAAGAAGCAUUAUUACUGUGAAUGCAGCGUGAGUGUGAGUUAGACGCUAAAAAGAAAACCUAAGACUUGGACCGAUGUACCCAUGUAGAGAUGUCAGAAUAGACAGUAGCGAACCAGUAUGCACCCCUGUUGUGAAUGCAGAUUGGGCACCGGCAUUUGUCAGAAACCUCUGAGGUGUUGACUGAAGCAUGGCAGUCCACCAGCCAAGCAGGACCCCUGAGGUGUCUCUGCUUUCGCCUGAGUAAAAAUGGAUCAAAGCUAAGAAGCAGAAAUGACAACCACUGUUCAGUCUAAUCUCAUUUCACAGGAAUGGGUGACUUCUGCUGAAAGCACUAGGAAGGCAUGAACUUUAUCUUUCUCGCCCUGUUCACUGCAUAGGCAAUCAGGUUGAUGCAAUAACCGCCCUGGGCCAUAAAGGAAAAUGGUGAAGUACAAACUGCAGACUUAUGAAGACACAGAGAAGCUGGUGGAGGUGACAAAGAAAACAAAGAAGAGAGAAGGUGACGGAUGGAAUGAGGGGAUGUCAGUUGAUGAUUAAAAUGAAGCUAAGGAACAGAAGUCGAGGGGGCAGAAGCCUUCGCCUGCGUGACAUAUGCUCUCAUGGCAGCCAGUGUCGCAGAAAUCGAUGCCGCCCCUCUGCCGCCAUGGAGCCCACCCUGCCAUCUGUCUCAUUAACCUGGCUUAGCAGCAUACAAAACUAGACCGUGUGCUCGUGGGCCUGUGUAUGAAAACAUAAAGGAGAGAUGCUAAAGAAGAAAAACAGCGGGGAAGACCAAAAAGCAAAAGGUUAAGGAAGAGAGAAAGACUGGAAAAUGGGCACUCAUCCUGUGUGCACAAUUUAAGAUGAAGGUGAACUGUUUUGUGGGGUGGCCAACAUGAGGUCGUAGUUUGUGUCAGUGAUGCACAGAGAGGUUUAAUGGAGGAGGAGGAAGCAGGCAAGACAUCUCUGAGAGAGGUUAGGUAAACCCUCACAUCAUUCAGCUUCACCUGUUCGGACCUCAAAGCUCCAUCCCUGUCACUACUGCUUUGAAACCUGUGAAAUACCCAACACUUUUGUGGAGGCUGUGGCUCAGCAGGAGAGACUGUUUGUUCCAGGGGAUAAGCAGAGUUAGAAGAUUACUGGGA